CUGACGAGUCCAGAAUAGGACGAAAUGCGCGUC
rnacentral:hammerhead_ribozyme from 1 species